CCUACGGGCGACAGCAGUCGAGAAUCAUUCACAAUGGGGGAAACCCUGAUGGUGCGACGCCGCGUGGGGGAAUGAAGGUCUUCGGAUUGUAAACCCCUGUCAUGUGGGAGCAAAUUAAAAAGAUAGUACCACAAGAGGAAGAGACGGCUAACUCUGUGCCAGCAGCCGCGGUAAUACAGAGGUCUCAAGCGUUGUUCGGAAUCACUGGGCGUAAAGGGUGCGUAGGCUGUUUCGUAAGUCGUGUGUGAAAGGCGCGGGCUCAACCCGCGGACGGCACAUGAUACUGCGAGACUAGAGUAAUGGAGGGGGAACCGGAAUUCUCGGUGUAGCAGUGAAAUGCGUAGAUAUCGAGAGGAACACUCGUGGCGAAGGCGGGUUCCUGGACAUUAACUGACGCUGAGGCACGAAGGCCAGGGGAGCGAAAGGGAUUAGAUACCCCAGUAGUC
rnacentral:rRNA from 1 species